rnacentral:rRNA from 1 species
UACGGGGGGGGCAAGCGUUGUUCGGAAUUACUGGGCGUAAAGGGCUCGUAGGCGGCCAACUAAGUCAGACGUGAAAUCCCUCGGCUUAACCGGGGAACUGCGUCUGAUACUGGAUGGCUAGAGUUUGGGAGAGGGAUGCGGAAUUCCAGGUGUAGCGGUGAAAUGCGUAGAUAUCAGGAGGAACACCGGUGGCGAAGGCGGCUAUCUGGACAGAAACUGACGCUGAGGCGCGAAAGCUAGGGGAGCAAACAGG